rnacentral:rRNA from 1 species
GAAGCCUGACGGAGCCUGCCGCGUGAAGGUAUGAAGGCCUACGGGUCAUGAACUUCUUUUCCCGGAGAAGAAGCAAUGACGGUAUCCGGGGAAUAAGCAUCGGCUAACUCUGUGCCAGCAGCCGCGGUAAUAUCC